GACGAACGCUGGCGGCGUGCUUAACACAUGCAAGUCGAGCGGUAAGGCUCCUUCGGGAGUACACGAGCGGCGAACGGGUGAGUAACACGUGAGUAAUCUGCCCUUCACUUCGGGAUAACCACCGGAAACGGUGGCUAAUACCGAAUACGACCAGUCUUCGCAUGAGGUGCUGGUGGAAAGUCUUUUCGGUGAAGGAUGUGCUCGCGGCCUAUCAGCUUGUUGGUGGGGUAAUGGCCUACCAAGGCUUCGACGGGUAGCCGGCAUGAGAGGGUGACCGGCCACACUGGGACCGAGACACGGCCCAGACGCCUAAGGGGGGCAGCAGUGGGGAAUAUUGGACAAUGGGCGAAAGCCUGAUCCAGCAACGCCGCGUGAGGGAUGACGGCCUUCGGGUUGUAAACCUCUUUCAGUACCGACGAAGCGCCCUGUCGGGUGGUGACGGUAGGUACAGAAGAAGGACCGGCCAACUACGUG
rnacentral:rRNA from 1 species